rnacentral:lncRNA from 1 species
CUGGAGAUGUAGCUGGUAGAGCACCCCUGGGUUCAACCCCCAGGACCCCGCCAAGAAAAGGACCUGGAGGUGGAAGAGAAGGUAAGGGGAGGGGGAGGGGAGAGGAGGGGAGGGGAGGGGAGGGGAGGGGACCAGGGACCUGAUUCCCUCUGUGGGAGGCUCAGGCAUAGACCUCCCCUGCCCUCUGGCAGACAGGGCCAGUGCAGCUGCCACUGGGAUCGGGUGCUGCCCUCUGCUGGCGGGGACCUGCCCCAGGGCUGGGAUGGGACCAGAAAGAACCCCAGAUCCACUGGGACAAAGAGCAAGAGGGAGGUUGGGGAGAGUCCCCUUCCUGUCUCAGUGACAAGCAGAAGUGCCCCCAACCCUGAGCCCCAGAGCCCUGCUGAAGGCGUGGGAAAGAGAUGUCUGGUGACUGAGAUGUCUCGCCAGAGGCCAGCAGCACCAUAGAGAUCCUCAUGCAGGGUGGCCCCCCAGGCCACGUCCCUGGGUCCCUCAGCUCCUCCUGAACAGCUCUAGGUGUAAAAGCAGAACCUCACACCUGACCCUGCAAGUGCCCAUCCUCCCCAGGCUCCUGUCCCCUGGCUUCCGUGUGAUGUGUUUGUGGAGACCUUAAAACAAAGCACUCCAGGGUCACACAGGACAUCAGACGCUUGGUGUUUACCAGGAAUUGGUCUUCUGGGCUGCUAACUGCCCAGUGGUGAAGCCCAAAGAGGAGGGAGCCAGCUGGCAGGGCCUGUGUCCGUCCUGCCCUUCCAGGGAAGCUGGGGGUCUGUGAAGCAUGGGUUGGAGCCCUGUCUGAUGCGGGGUCACCCAGGUGAUGACUGCUCAGGUCUGGCCCUCUGACGCCCUCCCCUGGCCACGAGGACAUCCUGCAGGCUCCCCCCACAGCCCGAGAGCUCUGCCUGUGGCUGAUGCACAGGCCUGGCUUUGGCCCCAGCUAUGAGGAUAGAGAUUCAGGGUCUGCUGUUGGUCAAGUGUCCCUUGAGAAGCCUCUGAGGCCUUGUCCAGCCCCAUGGCCUGGCGCCACCCAGAUGGCUGGCUUUCUCUCCAGGUCUGGCCCGCCUGAGCCACCACGGAGCUCUCCAGCAGUACGAGGCAGCAGCUUCAAGGACAGAAGUGCCCAGCCCCAUGCAGGACCCCGGGGCUGGGACCAGACAGCGCGACCGUGGGGUUCCACAGUAGGGACCUGGCAUGUCCCAAGCGCAACCUUGGGAAGCCCAGAGGCAUAAAUAAAGGAAAGCCCACGCGUGGGGGAGGACGCAGCUUUCUCAGCCAGGCCUGGGAACCGUAGCCUAACUGGACAGGCCCACACAGCUGCCAUCCCCGAGAAGCCAGCACACCCAGCAGCAGAGCUGGACCCUCCGCCUUCCCACAUCCACCAACUCCCCCUUAACAACAUGGCCCUUGCCCCAGUGUCCCCCAGGGUAGGCAUGGGAGGGACUGCAGGGGCCCAGUACUUCUGCCCACUGCCCAGGGCUUGCAGCUCUGGCCCCUGCCCGCACCAGAGCUCCUCCCUGUGCCCGGUGGAACCUGCCAGAACAAGCACACUCCAGCUGUCCUGUGUACAGCAGAGAGGCCCACUGCCCAAGCCAGGCAUGUGGUGCAGGAGGGCCUGCCAAACCACGGGCAGAGCUGACCUCAGCUCCCAGACUCCUGGGUUCAGGUCCCUUCACUCCCAGGGGGCUAGAAGUGCUCCCCUUGCUUACAAGCCCCAGACAGCCCUGCACCU